ACGCUCGACACCUACGGAGGCAGCAGUCGGGAAUAUUGCGCAAUGGAGGAAACUCUGACGCAGUGACGCCGCGUAUAGGAAGAAGGUUUUCGGAUUGUAAACUAUUGUCGUUAGGGAAGAAAAAGGACAGUACCUAAGGAGGAAGCUCCGGCUAACUACGUGACAGCAGCCGCGGUAAUCUGAGCGGGCUGGCAAGGC
rnacentral:rRNA from 1 species